AAUGAACGCUGGCGGCAGGCCUAACACAUGCAAGUCGAACGGAUCCGUCGGGAUUAGUGGCGGACGGGUGAGUAACGCGUGGGAACAUACCCUUUGGUACGGAAUAGCCUCGGGAAACUGGGAGUAAUACCGUAUGUGGUCGAGAGACAAAAGAUUUAUCGCCAAAGGAUUGGCCCGCGUUGGAUUAGGUAGUUGGUGGGGUAAUGGCCUACCAAGCCGACGAUCCAUAGCUGGUUUGAGAGGAUAAUCGGCCACACUGGGACUGAGACACGGCCCAGACUCCUACGGGAGGCAGUAGUGGGGAAUCUUAGACAAUGGGGGAAACCCUGAUCUAGCCAUGCCGCGUGAUCGAUGAAGGCCUUAGGGUUGUAAAGAUCUUUCAGGUGGGAAGAUAAUGACUGUACCACCAGAAGAAGCCCCGGCUAACUCCGUGCCAGCAGCCGCAGUAA
rnacentral:rRNA from 1 species